AUGGAAGAUGUUGAGAUUUUUUACAAGGCUUAUGCACACAAUGUUGGAUUUUCAGUCAGAAUUGGGCAGAAAAAGUCCAUAGAUGAUGUGGUGGUCUGGAGGCGAUUUCCUUGUUCGAAAGAAGGUUUCCGACGAAGGGAGGAGGAACGCAAGAAGGAUUUGAAGGGAGGGAAGAUAAGAACACAUGCAAGAAAGAUUACUAUAUGUGGUUGUGAAGCCAUGAUAACUGUCAAGCGUAUGCAGGAUGGCAAAUACUCAAUAUCAGAUUUUCACGAAGAACACACCCAUCAAUUUAUCACACCCACCAAGCAACAUUUAAUCAAUUCAAAUAGAGAAGUCAGCGAGAAGGUCAAGACCACACUAUUCACAUGUCACGCAGCUAGUAUUGGCACAUCUGGAGCCUUUCGAUUGCUUCGUGUUGGUGAGGGUGAAUUUCAGUUUGUGGGGUGCACGAAGAGAGACUUGCAUAAUUAUCACCGUGACAUGAGAAGUACUUUCAAGGAUACAGAUGCUCAAAUGUUUAUUGACAACCUCAGAAAGAGGAAGCAAAUCAACCCAGGAUUCUUCUUUGAGUAUGUUCUUGAUGAUAAAAAUCAAUUGAAACGUGUGUUUUGGGCAAAUGCAUUUUGUAGAAAGAAUUAUGCUUUAUUUGGAGAAACGGUGUCUUUUGACUCCACAUACAACACAAAUCAGUACAAGAUGAUUUUUUGUCCAUUCACAGGAAUAAACCACCAUAUGGGAUCUGUUUUCUAUGGUGCUGCCUUGAUUAUUGAUGAGAAAGAAGAGUCGUACCGGGUGUUUGAAACAUUUUUGAAAGCCAUGGAUGGGGCAACACCGAGGCUUAUAGUAACUGAUGAAGAUGCUAGCAUGAAGGCUGCCAUUGAUAUAGUUAUGCCAAACACCGUCCAUAGGUUAUGCAUGUGGCACAUAAUGAGAAAGCUUCCAGAAAAGGUUGGUCCUUCACUGAAAGAGGAUGAACAUUUUUACAACUCAGUUAAUGCAUGUGUAUGGGGUUCUGAAAGCCCAGCUGAAUUUGAGGCAAAGUGGUCUUCCAUGAUUUCUGAAUUUGGUCUUGAAGAAAACACAUGGUUUGCUAGGAGAAAUGAAAUUCGUGACUCAUGGAUACCAGCCUACUUUAGAGGUGUAUUCUUGGGUGAAACUCUGAGAACCACUUCGAGGUCAGAGAGUGCUAACUCAUUCUUUAAUCACUUUAUUGGUUACAAGCAUGCUUUGGUGGAGUUUUGGAUUAGGAUUGGUACAGCCCUGGAAGAACAAUGUCAGAAUGAACUCAAGGCUGAUCAUGAUUGCCUCAACUCCAUGUCUCCACUGAUUACAUCAUGGGAGAUCGAGAAGCAUGCAAGCAUAUACUUCACCCAUGAGGUUUUCAAAGCUUUUCAGAAGGAGGUGCGUGCGGCUAGAGAUCACUGCUUAAUUGAAAUCAUAUUGCAGGAGGGUGAUGUGAAAACCACGGUUGUAGGAGGUGAUCGCUCUUACAAGUCUAGAGAAGUUAAGUUCAACACAACAUCCAUGAGUGCUCACUGCUCUUGCAUGUUAUUUGAGACACGUGGAAUUCUAUGCCGACAUAUCAUCGUGGUUUUGAGAGGUGCAAAAAUUAAUGAGCUACCAAGCCAUUUCAUUCUAGAUAGCUGGAAGAAAACAGUUAACAGGAGGUCACUAUACGAUAGUGGUGGCAACUUGCUUGAAGAGAAUGAGAGGUUACUGCCAAUAAUCCUAGUAGACAAGAUGAAUUCGAGGCAUACAUUGGUUGUAGUAUGCCUAAUGAAGUUGAAAUUUAUCCACCAACUAAUGUGCAUACAAAGGGGAGGUGCAAAAGAAUUAAGGGACACUUAGACAAGGGUGGAGAAGGGAAACAAAAAAAGGAUGGAGAAGGGAAGCAAAACAAAAAUGGAGAGCGGAAGAAAAAUGCCGGAGGACCGAAAAAGCCUCGCACGUGUGGGACUUGUAAGAAGGUUGGCUUCCAUGAUAGUCGUAGUUGCCCCAACAAGAACAUUAGAUCCGAAUAGGUAUUUUCCAUACAGUAGUUCUUAUCUAUGUAUAUUCGCUUUCAAAAGGUGA
rnacentral:rRNA from 1 species